rnacentral:rRNA from 1 species
AUUGAACGCUGGCGGCAGGCCUAACACAUGCAAGUCGAGCGAGCGGCGGCCGGGUGAGUAAUUUCUGGGAAACUGCCUGAUGGAGGGGGAUAACUACUGGAAACGGUAGCUAAUACCGCAUACCAUCAGAUGUGCCCAGAUGGGAUUAGCUAGUAGGUGGGGUAAUGGCUCACCUAGUCGACGAUCCCUAGCUGGUCUGAGAGGAUGACCAGCAACACUGGAACUGAGACACGGUCCAGACUCCAACGGGAGGCAGAAGUGGAGAAUAUUGCACAAUGGGAGCAAGCCUGAUGCAGCCAUGCCGCGGGUAUGAAGAAGGCCUUCGGGUUGUAAAGUACUAACAGCGGAGAGGUGUUACCCGCAAAAGAAGCACCGGCUAACUCCGUGCCAGCAGCCGCGGUAAUUC